UACGGAGGGAGCUAGCGUUGUUCGGAAUUACUGGGUGUAAAGUGUGUGUAGGUGGUUAUUCAAGUCAGAGGUGAAAGCCCGGGGCUCAACCCCGGAACUGCCUUUGAAACUAGGUAGCUAGAAUCUUGGAGAGGUCAGUGGAAUUCCGAGUGUAGAGGUGAAAUUCGUAGAUAUUCGGAAGAACACCAGUGGCGAAGGCGACUGACUGGACAAGUAUUGACGCUGAGGUGCGAAAGCGUGGGGAGCAAACAGG
rnacentral:rRNA from 1 species